rnacentral:rRNA from 1 species
GACGAACGCUGGCGGCGUGCUUAACACAUGCAAGUCGAACGGAAAGGCCCUGCUUUUGUGGGGUGCUCGAGUGGCGAACGGGUGAGUAACACGUGAGUAACCUGCCCUUGACUUUGGGAUAACUUCAGGAAACUGGGGCUAAUACCGGAUAGGAGCUCCUGCUGCAUGGUGGGGGUUGGAAAGUUUCGGCGGUUGGGGAUGGACUCGCGGCUUAUCAGCUUGUUGGUGGGGUAGUGGCUCACCAAGGCUUUGACGGGUAGCCGGCCUGAGAGGGUGGCCGGCCACAUUGGGGCUGAGAUACGGCCCAGACUCCUACGGGAGGCAGCAGUGGGGAAUAUUGCACAAUGGGCGGAAGCCUGAUGCAGCAACGCCGCGUGCGGGAUGACGGCCUUCGGGUUGUAAACCGCUUUCGCCUGUGACGAAGCGUGAGUGACGGUAAUGGGGAAAGAAGCACCGGCUAACUACGU